rnacentral:rRNA from 1 species
GACGAACGCUGGCGGCGUGCUUAACACAUGCAAGUCGAACGGAAAGGCCCUGCUUUUGUUGGGUUCUCGAGUGGCGAACGGGGGUGUAACACGUGAGUAACCUGCCCUUGACUUUGUGAUAACUUCACGAAACUGGGGCUCAUACCGGAUAUGAUCUCCUGCUGCAUGGGGGGGGUUGGAGAGUGUCGGCGGUUGGGGAUCGACUCGAGGCUUAUCAGCUUGUUUGGCUGGUAGUGGCGUACCAAGGCUUUGACGGGUAGCCUGCAUGAGAGGGUUACCGGCGACAUUGGGCCUGAGAUACGGAGCAGACUCCUACGGGCGGCAGCAGUGGGGAGUCUGGCACAAUGGGGGGAAGUGUGAUGCAGCAAUGCCGCGUGCGUGAUGCCGGCCUUCGGGUUGUAAACAGCUGUCGACGGUGACGAAGCGUGAGUGACGGUAAUGGGUAAAGAAGCAACGGCUAACUACGUG